rnacentral:rRNA from 1 species
GGGGACACUGUUGGGACCGCUCUGCUAAAGAGAGGAAGGAAUGGGCAACGGUAGGUCAGCAUGCCCCGAAUUAUCUGGGCUACACGCGGGCUACAAUGGGUGGGACAAUGGGUAUCGACACCGAAAGGUGAAGGCAAUCUCCUAAACCCAUCCGUAGUUCGGAUUGUGGGCUGCAACUCGCCCACAUGAAGCUGGAAUCUGUAGUAAUCGUGUCUCAAAAUGGCACGGUGAAUAUGUCCCUGCUCCUU